AUUGAACGCUGGCUGCAGGCCUAACACAUGCAAGUCGAACGAGUGGCGGACGGGUGAGUAAUGUCUGGGAAACUGCCUGAUGGCGGGGGAUAACUACUGGAAACGGUAGCUAAUACCGCAUACCAUCGGAUGUGCCCAGAUGGGCUUAGCUAGUAGGGGGGGUAACGGCUCACCUAGGCGACGAUCCCUAGCUGGUCUGAGAGGAUGACCAGCAACACUGGAACUGAGACACGGUCCAGACUCCUACGGGAGGCAGCAGUGGGGAAUAUUGCACAAUGGGCGCAAGCCUGAUGCAGCCAUGCCGCGUGUAUGAAGAAGGCCUUCGGGUUGUAAAGUACUUUCAGCGGGGAGGCGUUACCCGCAGAAGAAGCACAGGCUAACUCCGUGCCAGCAGCCGAGGUAAUAC
rnacentral:rRNA from 1 species